rnacentral:rRNA from 1 species
UACGAAGGGGGCUAGCGUUGCUCGGAAUCACUGGGCGUAAGCGCACGUAGGCGGCUUCUCAAGUCAGGGGUGAAAUCCUGGAGCUCAACUCCAGAACUGCCUUUGAUACUGAGGGGCUCGAGUCCGGGAGAGGUGAGUGGAACUGCGAGUGUAGAGGUGAAAUUCGUAGAUAUUCGCAAGAACACCAGUGGCGAAGGCGGCUCACUGGCCCGGUACUGACGCUGAGGUGCGAAAGCGUGGGGAGCGAACAGG